rnacentral:rRNA from 1 species
UAGAUGCGAGAGUAGAGCAUAUCAAUAAGCGGAGGAAAAGAAACUAACAAGGAUUCCCUUAGUAACGGCGAGUGAAGCGGGAAGAGCUCAAAUCUGAAAUCUUCAAGGUUCUACCUUGACGAAUUGUAGUUUAAAGAAGUGUUUUCUGUUAGAUGAGUAGCAAAAGUUCCUUGGAAUGGGACAUCAUAGAGGGUGAGAAUCCCGUAUUUGGUUAUUCAUUCUAGCUUUGUGAUACACUUUCAAAGAGUCGGAUUGUUUGGGAAUGCAGUCCAAAAUGGGUGGUAAAUUUCAUCUAAAGCUAAAUAUUGGCGAGAGACCGAUAGCGAACAAGUACCGUGAGGGAAAGAUGAAAAGAACUUUGAAAAGAGAGUUAAACAGUACGUGAAAUUGUCAAAAGGGAAGCGUUUGACACCAGUGCUGUUUUUCCGAAAAUCAAUUACGAAUGGCUUGAUUUUGUGUUGUAUUGACCUUGAUCAGCUUUCUGCACUUUUUUUCGAGUCCUUUCUUAAUGCACUUUUCGGUUAACAAGUCAACAUCAAUUUCUUUUGUUGUAAAAGAGUAUUCGGAAGGUGGCUUUCUUUUCGGAGAAAGUGUUUAUAGCCCUAUACUUCUACAAUCGGAGAGAUUGAGGUCUGCAGCGUAGAUCCUUCGGGGUUAGAUACAUUUGUGCUAAGUUGUAGCUUUUCAUAGACAACUUGUUGACUAUGUUUAGUCAUGCGGCUUACUCGCUUAUGCUAUUUUACCUACGCUUAGGAUGUUGAGCGCAUGUCUCUCUCU